UUACGCGAAGGGACCUUACCAACCCUUGACAUCCUGUGCUAACUCCAGAGAUGGAGUGUUCCCUUCGGGGACGCAGUGACAGGUGCUGCAUGGCUGUCGUCAGCUCGUGUCGUGAGAUGUGCGGUUAAGUCCGGCAACGAGCGCAACCCACAUCCUUAGUUGCCAUCAUUCAGUUGGGCACUCUAGGGAAACUGCCCGUGAUAAGCGGGAGGAAGGUGUGGAUGACGUCAAGUCCUCAUGGCCCUUACGGGUUGGGCUACACACGUGCUACAAUGGUAGUGACAAUGGGUUAAUCCCAAAAAGCUAUCUCAGUUCGGAUUGGGGUCUGCAACUCGACCCCAUGAAGUCGGAAUCGCUAGUAAUCGCGUAACAGCAUGACGCGGUGAAUACGUUCCCGGGUCUUGUA
rnacentral:rRNA from 1 species